rnacentral:lncRNA from 1 species
GCCAUUUCUUGGGCCGCUCCCAUGGCAUAUGGAGGUUCCCAGGCUAGGGGUCUCAUCGGAGCUGUACCCUCCGGUCUCCGCCAGAACCACAGCAACGCUGGAUCCGAGCCACGUCUGCAACGUACACCACAGCUCACAGCAACGCCGGAUCCCUAACCCACUGAGCAAGGCCAGGGAUCGAACCCACAACCUCAUCGUUCCUAGUUGGAUUCGUUAACCACUGAGCCACGACGGGAACUCCAAAAACUUUUUUAAUGAAACAAUUUGAGAGACUUCCCAUCCAACCAAGAUAGACUGAGAGGGGUUAGAUGUACCCUCUUUUUCAAAACAGCAACAACCAAACUCUGGAAAAAUAUACAAAAUAAUGAUUUUUAAGACAUAGGACAUCAGGCAAUGUAGAACAGUGAUCUCCGAGAGAUAAGAAACCAAGGAGGUGAAUCAUGAUUGCCUGCUUACUGUCUUAAGGGUUUCUUGGCAGUGGCACAGGGCAGAUAACUCAAGGAACACAAAUUCCCCAAGUUGCAGAAGCAGAACUGAAGGCAUGGGAGAACAAGGUGGUUACAGUUCACAAGUCAGAGCAUGUGAACAGGGCUGCUGCACAGAUAAAGGUCUCCUGAGAUCUGCAGAGAGUCCCACUCAGGAAUUUAGCAGAGUACUGAUCUUGGCCAAUGUGUGAGGAAACUUUCCAAGGCUGGGUAUUCCUUAUGGAAUAAAAGGAGCUAACCAAUGAUCAAUACCUGCUAACAUCUCAGAUAGAGAGAGAACCAGUAGUCCUGCCCAGCCUUCUCCAAAUGAAUCUAGCAAGUUCAGAGUCUUAAUCACCAGUGAAUAGGAAAGACAUGGUACAGAGGAGCUUCUUAAACAACUCUACAGGAAUGCAUGAGCAAAUACAAACUAUGGAAAGCUCUACCAGCACAAUCCAGUUUUUUCCACAAAUAAGGAAAAAUAAACAGAGGUGAAACAUAGAUUAAAAGAGAAGAGAAAUAUCAAUGAAUUGCAAUGUAUGAAUCAUAUGUAUUCUAUUUCAAAAGAGUAAAAAAAUUAUAAAAAAUUUUGAGACAAUUGAGAAAACUUGAAUACUGAUUGUACAUAUUUGAUAACGAUAAAGAAAUACUGACUUUCUAGGUAUGGUUUGGUUUAUUUUUUCAGAUGUGGUUCAUUUCUUCAAUUAAAAAAGUCCUAUGCUCAACACUGCUAAUUAUUAGGGAAAUGCAAAUCGAAAUGACAAUGAGGUAUCAUGCCAAACCAGUCAGAAUGGCCAUCAUUAAUAAGUCUAAAUAAUAAAUUCUGGAGAGGGUAUGGAGAAAAAGGAACUUACUACACUGUUGAUGGGAAUGUAAAUUGGUGCAGUUACUAUGGAGAACAGUACAGAUAUUCCUUUAAAAACUAAAAGUAGAGUUACCAUACAAUUCAGCAUUUCCACUCCUGGGUAUAUAUUCCAAGAAAAUUAUAAUUCCAAAAGACACAUGCACCCAAAUGUUCACAGCAGCACUACUUAACGAUAUCCAAGACACGGAAGCAACCUAUAUGUCCAUCGACAGAUGAAUGGAUGCAGAUGUGGCACAUAUAUCCACAAUAGAAUAUUACUUAGCCAUAAAAAAGAAUGAAAUAAUUCCAUUUGCAGCAACAUGGACAAACCUAGAGAUUACCCCACUAAGUGAAAUAAGCCAGACAGAGAAGGACAAAUAUCAUGAUAUUGCUUAUAUGUAGAAUCUGAAAAAAUAUGAUACAAAUGGAUUUAUUUACAAAAUACAAAUGAACUCACAGACAUAGUAAACAAACUUAUGGUUACCAAAGGAGAAAGUGGUAGGGAGGGAUAAAUUACUAAUUUGGGAUUAAGAUACACAUACUGCAAUGUAUUAAGUAGAUAACCAACAAGACCCUACUUUACAACACAUGGAGCUCUACUCAACAUCUUAUACUAACCCAUAAUAAAAAGAAUCUGAAAACAUAUAUACAUGUAUAAACAUAUAUAUACAUAUAUGCACACACACAUAUAUAUAACUGAAUCGCUUUGCUGUAAGUAUAAUUGCAUACAAGUUCCUAUCACUCUCUACUUUUAAAUAUGUUCAGAAUUUUCAGGUAACAAACCCAUAAGUAAAAGUAAAAAUACAUAAGUAAACACAUAAGUGAUUUAAAGACUCAGAGGCCACAGUCUAUGUUUCUGCAUUAAAACAAUUUCUCAGACACAGAGAUAUCAGAGAUAAUAUUUUAUGAGGAUAUUGAAGGCUGAUUUGCAGAAUUUCCUUAAUGGAGGACUACACAAAACACUAGCUUUUAAGCAAGGAUGGAUUUCUCUCUGAAAAAUCUGACAGUAUACAAGUACUUGACUACCUAAUCUAAGUCAGCUAAAGACAUCAAAGAAGACCAAAAAAGUGGGUCUAUAAAUAUGGUUGUGACUUAUUCCUGUUCUUUUAAUAAGGUGAGGUGUAUGAGAAGUCUCACAGAGCAUAUGACUGCUAUCCUUCCAAUAGCAUUCUUGCAACACAGCUCAUCCCAUUCAAUUUCGCCAUUCCCACGUUUACUGUUUAACAUCUCCACUUUCUGCUCACACUUUUAAGCUUUUAGGUUUUGAGGUGAGGGGAAAGAAACCUUUGGAGAUGUGCAAAAUUCUUUCUCAAGUCCAAUAAUACAUUAGGAAGUAUGUAAGUAUGUCUUAUCUGGAAACUCUUUUUUCUUUUGCUCUUUUUUCUUUCCUUUUUUUUUUUUUUUUUUUUUUGGCAGUCAGAGGGAUACUCUGAGUAGCUUGUCCAAGGUUCAGAUUAAAGAAAUCUCUUCUCUCUUCUUACCUUAUCUAAAUCCUGCCCUCCAUUUCCUGGAUAAGAAAUCAGUUGACUUACUGAUUUUUAAAAUAUUAAUUUCAAAUUUUCAGUAUUUUAGAUAAUUAUUUUGUCUACAACAUUACUGUACUAGCACUACUAUUAAAAUAUCAUGCAUCCUAAUGCUCAUUUUCACUAAAUAUCUGAAAAGGCUAUAGGAGCAUGUUUAAAACCUGAUGUGUGCUUUGGGAUCGACUUUGGGGAAUCAAGGCCAGCGUGUGCAUUUGUAUAAGCUGGUCACAUUUUAGGAAGUAUUUGCAAG